CACGUGGGAAACGUUGCAUGUUAACGAAUGAACAACACUGUUGAAUACAGCUUUGUUUUCUGUCUUGAUUGAGGAUUCCGGAAAACCAUGAAAAGCAGUAAUGACACACAGGCCACGCCCAGCACUCCAAUGGCCACGCCUACUCCUGCCAGGGUGGUUCUGGAAGUGGAUUCUGAGGAGAGUAGGAACGGAGUUCAAAUAGAAAACAGCAUUAGAUUUCAAGAACUGAGCGAGCCAUUCUGCAGCUUUUAUACCAGGUCUUUAGCCAUUGAUGAUUUAAAGCUAUCCAGAAAACCUUCAGGAUUGUGGCUCUCCAGGACCAGGGUUGACCUCCCCUGCUCUGAGCUAUACUGUUGGCUUGCAGUGAAAGAUGGGCUUUUUAUUCUCAGAAGAGCCAGGGAGGUUACAGAUACCCUCAUAGCGUGGGCGCAGGUGGUGUGUUCCCA